rnacentral:rRNA from 1 species
GUGGGGAAUCUUAGACAAUGGGCGCAAGCCUGAUCUAGCCAUGCCGCGUGGGUGAUGAAGGCCUUAGGGUCGUAAAGCCCUUUCGCCGGGGAAGAUAAUGACGGUACCCGGUAAAGAAACCCCGGCUAACUCCGUGCCAGCAGCCGCGGUAAUACGGAGGGGGUUAGCGUUGUUCGGAAUGACUGGGCGUAAAGCGCGCGUAGGCGGAUCGCAAAGUCGGGGGUGAAAUCCCGGGGCUCAACCCCGGAAUGGCCUUCGAGACUCGCGGUCUGGAGUUCGAGAGAGGUGGGUGGAAUUCCGAGUGUAGAGGUGAAAUUCGUAGAUAUUCGGAGGAACACCAGUGGCGAAGGCGGCCCACUGGCUCGACACUGACGCUGAGGCGCGAAAGCGCGGGGAGCAAACAGG